UUUCUCCUUUGCUGUUUUGUCAUU
rnacentral:snRNA from 1 species